AUGAACGCUAGCGACAGGCCUAACACAUGCAAGUCGAGGGGCAGCACAAGGAGCAAUCUGAGGUGGCGACCGGCGCACGGGUGAGUAACACGUGUGCAACCUGCCUGUAAGAGGGGAAUAACCCGUUGAAAGACGGACUAAUACCGCAUAAUACUAAAUUACUGCAUGGUAAUUUAUUUAAACAUUUAUGGCUUACAGAUGGGCAUGCGCAUGAUUAGCUAGUUGGAGAGGUAACGGCUCCCCAAGGCAACGAUCAUUAGGGGUUCUGAGAGGAAGGUCCCCCACACUGGUACUGAGACACGGACCAGACUCCUACGGGAGGCAGCAGUGAGGAAUAUUGGUCAAUGGACGAGAGUCUGAACCAGCCAAGUCGCGUGCAGGAAGAAUGUCCCUAUGGAUUGUAAACUGCUUUUGCAGGGGAAUAAAGUGCAUCACGUGUGAUGUUUUGUAUGUACUCUGCGAAUAAGGAUCGGCUAACUCCGUGCCAGCCGCGGC
rnacentral:rRNA from 1 species